UAUGCCUAAAUUUACCAAUAGGAAAAGGAUUUGAUAAAGUUGGAUGCAAGAAAUUAUUAAUUAUUUGAUAUCUCCUUUAAAAGAACUAAAAAGAAAACUAAAAGAAAAGAGAGGAAAGCUUGUGAAUUGCCUACUUUCCCCAUUACGGGAUCCUUAAUUGGGGCUAUGCCCAACAAUCCAUGUAAAAGAAAAGUUAUUAAAGUCCAAAAAGCAAGAUUUAGGUCCUAAACCACAAUUUAUGUGGGGGUUUACCACUUCAACAUGAUCCCUGAUUUUAUUUGCAGUUAGGGAACAACUCAUAAACACUCCUACAAAAGACCCUACAACACUUGAAAACAAUAGGUAAUAUGUUAUUAGUCCUUGUCUUUAGGUAAAAUUUGAAAUUUAGUUUCUAUACUUAAAAAAGUUAAAAAUUAAGUCCUUAUACUUUUGUGAUUUAAAAAUCUCAGUAUUAGUAUUUUUCAUCAAAAUUUACCAACUUGACAUGUUGAUUAGAUUACUCUCGUGUAACAUUACAUAUGUUAAGUUAAUAAAUCUGACAAAAAUUACUAACAAUAAUAAUAGUCGGACUAUAAUUUUCAACUUAAAAUAGUAGGAGAGGAUUUUUAACUUCAAAAAUAUAAGAAUGGUUUGUAACAUAUGGAAAGGGAAUCUGAAAAGGUGAGGGGUUAGGCAUGAUGAGAGAGGGAGGGAGAGUAAUACAAGGGAACAUAUAAACAAUUCAGCAAUAUAUCAGCCUCGAGUGCACUCUUUCAAGGUGCUUAAUUAUAUAUUUUAAUGGAUCAUCAAUUGAACUCAGCUAUUCUAUUUAUAUUUCAUCACGUGAAUAAUAAAUUUUAGAGGUGGACGUAGGUGUAAAAGAGAUGUAUGAGACACAGAAGGAUUAC
rnacentral:lncRNA from 1 species